GCUAUAUAAAUCCAAUCCAUUAUUAUUAUUUAUUAUUAAUAAAAGUCGGUAAAGUGUAAAAGAUGCAGCAGAGUGUAAAGUUGAGUUUAGUUUAAAGUUAUGUUGGCUGUAGGUGUGUCAGCUGUCACAUUUAUACUGUAGCUCCAGAGUGUAAAAUGCAGCACAUUAGUGUUAGUGGAGAAAGACAGGAAGCAAAAUGGUCUCAGUCCGUGUUUUUUAAAGUUUCUCCUGAAAGCAUGAAGAAUGUUUAAGGAAAAAAACAUUACUGAUCAUUUUGGGAAUAAAGUCAAAAUUUCAAUAUUAAAGUCGAGAUUUUGAACUCUAAACUCUGGUAAAGACGAGAUGUGCUGAGCAAAAACACACAAAGGCCCAGCUGGACUUUUGCUGUCAGGUGACCGUGCAGCACCAUGCUGUGUACAAGAGAUGCACCAUCAGCUGAAACCAGAGUGUGGCUUUUGCAGCAGUUUUACGUCACUCGUGGCAGAACCACCAGUCGUGUCGGCAGUGAUGGCAAAUAUAAAUGAGCCAUCAGAGCAACAGAUCUGCGAUAGGAAGCGUGCGGCUUAUGCUGCCAACCAUAAGUGAUCCUGACCUGUCCACUGAUCUGUGCUGAACGUCUUCCUGAGGAUUAGACGCAGGGCUUGAACAGCAUACAAAUACAUUUGAGGUUCAUCUCAAGGCAGAAAACUUUUUCUUUUAUACUUGAAGACGUUACAGACGCUGACCUUGGACGAGUGAGUCGGUGCCUUGUGGAGUGAUGGGCACGAACUUUUUCAUUCACCUUCCUCCGAGGGGUUGCCUCAGCUGAUCCUCUGCUGUCACACGAUCCCUGCACACUCACUACAUCGAUGAAUGUUCUCGGUGGUCUUCCUGUUUUCCUUCUGCCUGUCAGCUCCAUCUUCAACAUCACCUGCCCACUAUAGCCACUAUCCCUGCCAAGUAAGUGGGCUAAUCUAAAGACAAGGUUGGUGAGUAACUAAAAUAAUAAAAGAAAGAAAGUUGUUUUUUCUAGUUUGAGAAAUGGCAUCAUGUCUUUGAGCCACAGGGAGUUUGGGGGGUUAGGUGACUUCCAGAGGAGUAAGGAUACACCGUGUUGUCACCAGGAUGUAAAAGCAAGAAACUUUGUUUUGCAGGGAAGCUGCAUUUUUUGAUUCAGUGUGUUUGCCAGUUCAGUGACCCCAUGCUGCCUGGCUGGAGGGCAGUAGCGUGGUUUGGAGUCGGACCCACGGCCCUUUAGUACUCGUCUUCCCCCACGUCUCUUUCUCCCUCCCUGCUUUCCCGUCUCUCUUUGCAGCUUGGAUUUUGGGUUCUCUCUGGUGAACUGAAAAAGAAAUGAUCUGCAGACAUAGAUAAGCUUUGAGAGAUUCCCAUAAACUGAAUUGUUAUUAUUAAUAGAUAAAAAUUCACCAGUUGCUGGUGCAAUGAAGUCAUUAAAUGUAUCAUCUGAAAGCAGAACUGAAUAGAAACCCCGUGGGAAGGAGAAACGGGAUUGGUCUAGAGUCCACAGUAAGGGGGGCAUGACCCUAAAGCACAGCUGGAUGACAGUCAGAGGGAAUCACUUUAAACUGUCAGUGAAAAAAAUCAAUACAGGAAUAAGAUUUAAAAAAAUGAAUAUGUUCUUGUUUGUGGAUUAAGAAGUCUCCAAAAGUCAACACAGCCAUUAUGUAGUUAAAAUAAGAUGUAGAUCUAAGUGUGGGGGAUUAGGCGCAGGUGUGACCACGAGCGGUCCGUUUGAAUGAGUGGCAGAUUUCCCAAGGACAUUUCAGGGUAAAGUGGUCUCUAUCUUGUAAAUGUCUGUCUGUAGAAAAGUUCAGCUUUGAGGUGAGAGAAUCACUUAGAUCACUUAACAGGAUGUUUCACACCUUUAAAAUCCAAUUUAGUAAUCUGAAUAAUCGACUACAUCAAGAUUCUGGAGGAUAUUAAACAUACUGAGAGUCAUUUAAAUAAAAAGGAAAAAAAACUGAGGAAAUCUCCCAGAGGAAAGUCACAGAGUCAUAACCAAGAAACAACCAUUUCUUGGAAGCAACAGUUCCUCCCAGUGUUGGAACAUUUGCUGUAAAUGUGGAUUUCAAAGUUUCCAUCCUAUGCUUGGUUAGCAUGGAGAGGGGGGCAUCUAUUUUGGAGUGUCCUGUAUGUGUUAGACAGUAAUUUUGGGGCUUUUGAGAUCAGGUGUUUGUAUUGGAGAUUACACAUCGGAAUUUCAGGAGCAGGACCACGCCUCCAAACACGCUCCCUGUGUUCCCUCAGUUCUGCAAGCUGAUCAUUCUCGUCUACGUGCCCCUCCCUCCCUCCUUGUUCUCAAUUCUUUAGCUUCUUCACUUCUAUUUAGUGCAUGAGGAUCUGCCAGGGAGGCGUCACUAGUCGCCUUCGAGGUCUUCCCCAAACCGCAGCUCAACUCAUGUCUAAGCAUCACCUUUACCUACUAAAACGCUGUCAAACCUAAAACGAGGACGUGGCCCAGCGAGUGAAAUUGGACUUGAUUAGUGUGAGGUAGCGAUAAGACGACAGCAUCAGCAGACUGGUCCAGUUUCUUCUUGGUGUAUUUUAUUUUCUGCCAUCUUAAAAAACCCCGGUUGUCCAAACCUCACUGGUUGUGUACAGAUUUGUACACACCUGAACCUCAUCAGUCUCUCAUUAACAAACAGGUUAGCCAAAAAACAAAACACUGUACAUCUAUCUUACAAACUCAUUUACACUCAAAUGGUUUCAAAAGUAAAACACUUUAUGCAGUACAACUCAAAAAGCUUAGUUUGUACCCAGUGAUGCAGUCAGUGACAUCAUGAACCUUCAUAAACAGGAAGUGCUGGGCCGGCCCCGCCCACACACCUGCUCUGGAUGGGAGAUCUGAACAAAGGGACAAACAACGGUAAGUGUAACCAAAGCAACGUCAACAAGCAUAAUUCAACAAAAAAUGUUCCUUUAACAGAAAAAGGACCUGAUGGUUCAAUAGUGUUAACUUUAAAAACAUAUACAUGGAUGUAAACUAACAUAAUGCAACCACUAACUAAGCCGGGAUAGUAAGUAGAGCAAAGCUAGAACAGUACACUAAAGCAUUGUGCGUUUAGUUUAGUUUAGUGAUGAACGUUAGGCGGAUCCAGUCCUGCUUUAUCUUUGCUCCUUUGCAGUGUUUCGAAGCUGACACGCGGGGGUUUAGGAAUACACAAUCCAGAGAUCUGAACCAGUCUGGAGCUCGGGAUCAUUGACAAUAAAUGAUUGAUUCUUGCUAAGAGCAUCAUUUUUAUUGAAUGGACCCUUCACAUGAGUGAUGUGGGUAGAGAUUUCCAUCUAGACACAUCGUCUUCUACGUUCUUUCUUUAAACAGUUAUGGACAUAUAACACUGUGGAGUAUGUCAAAGCUUGCAGCGCCUCCAUCCUCUUAAAAUUUAUGAAUUAUUAUAAUUUUUUAUUGUUACCAAUUAUUGAAACAUUUUUCUCUGUGUUAUUUAAUUGUUGAAGCAAUGAGAAAAUGUGUUUUAAUACAGUCAGAUAUUUGAAUUCUGACAGCUCUUUACAAAUAUCUGUCAUUUCUACUCCUUACCAAACAGGCUUGUUACUUGAAAGUGAAAUGCAUUUGAGGUAUUUUUUUACAUCAUUGCAUGGCUUCAUGAAUCAAAACCAUUUCAGCCUAAACAGGAACAGAUCCAGUCCAGUAGCUCCCACCCACCCCAUGAGGUGCCGUCACGGGAGGCUGUUCAGCUGAAAGGACUCCUGCCUGCGGCUCUCUCUGUACAGCUUUUAUAAGCACUCAUACGUGCGACAAUAGUAUCUGCACCUCAAUUUCAGCUUCAUUUAUAUUUCAAUUUUGUGUCAUAUAUCAGAAUAUUUAUAUAUUAGAGCUAUUCUGUAAUAUACUCUAGUAUUUUAUAUUGGUCCUUUAACGUGUUCUGCUGCUCUUUUACGGUCUCGGAGCAGCUGUGACUUCCUCUGGGAAUAAUAACGGAUUCUGAUUCUGAUGGGCGUAAUCUUCUGAGCUGCAGAGUCACCAAGAAAAAUAGCGUCCUGUGAUUUCCCCGAGAGAGCGGUAACGCAGAAAGCCACAUUGAUUCCUUGCCAGAUCCAGCCUCUUCUCAUUAUAAAUGAAGAAAGGGUGGAGUCUGGUUGCACUUCCUUUGUGCCUUGAGGAGGACCAACCUGGCCCAGAAGCUGCUGCUGGUCUUCUAGUGCUCCUCAGUGGAGAACGUGUUCUCCUACUGCCUGUGAGUUUAGUACGCUGGCACCACCACUGAGAACAAAAGGCCACGCAGAAGUGACAUCAAGUGGCAAAACAGGAGUCAGCAAAACAAAAGGUGUGUCCUAAGUCAGGGACUGCAUCCUUCCCAGGACCCGGGCUUCACAGUCAGGCUGGGCCUUCAGAAGAUCGUGAAGGUCAGAAGUGUCGUUUGAUUGUCGGGUUUUUUCUGUGUCCAACAGUAAUUUUAGGAUUAGCUUGCAACACUUAGCUAAUGUUGUUCAUGGGUAGAGUCAGCUCACUUUGGUAAUGUACAGUGGGGC